UACGUAGGUGGCAAGCGUUGUCCGGAUUUACUGGGCGUAAAGCGUAUGCAGGCGGAUGCCUAAGUAGGAAGUGAAAGGUUGGAGCUCAACUCUAACACUGCUCCCUAUACUGGGUGUCUUGAGUGCCGGAGAGGAAGACGGAACUGCACGUGUAGCGGUGAAAUGCGUUGAGAUGUGCAGGAACACCAAUGGCGAAAGCAGUCUUCUGGACGGAUACUGACGCUGAGAUACGAAAGCCAAGGGAGCGAACAGG
rnacentral:rRNA from 1 species